rnacentral:rRNA from 1 species
GGGCCCGCACAAGCGGUGGAGCAUGUGGUUUAAUUCGAUGCAACGCGAAGAACCUUACCAGGGCUUGACAUACUGCGAAUCUCCUUGAAAGGGGAGAGUGCCUUCGGGAAUGCAGAUACAGGUGGUGCAUGGCUGUCGUCAGCUCGUGUCGUGAGAUGUUGGGUUAAGUCCCGCAACGAGCGCAACCCUUGUUUUUAGUUACCAGCACUUUAAGGUGGGCACUUUAGGGAUACUGCCAGUGACAAACUGGAGGAAGGCGGGGACGACGUCAAGUCAUCAUGGCCCUUACGACCAGGGCUACACACGUGCUACAAUGGCAAGUACAGAGGGUCGCUAACCUGCGAAGGUAUGCUAAUCUCAAAAAGCUUGUCGUAGUCCGGAUCGGAGUCUGCAACUCGACUCCGUGAAGUCGGAAUCGCUAGUAAUCG